rnacentral:rRNA from 1 species
CCUACGGGUGGCAGCAGUGAGGAAUAUUGGUCAAUGGACGAGAGUCUGAACCAGCCAAGUAGCGUGAAGGAUGACUGCCCUAUGGUUUGUAAACUUCUUUUAUAUGGAAAUAAAACGUUCCACGUGUGGGAUUUUGUAUGUACCAUAUGAAUAAGGAUCGGCUAACUCCGUGCCAGCAGCCGCGGUAAUACGGAGGUACCGAGCGUUAUCCGGAUUUAUUGGGUUUAAAGGGAGCGUAGGUGGAUUGUUAAGUCAGUUGUGAAAGUUUGCGGCUCAACCGUAAGAUUGCAGUUGAAACUGGCAGUCUUGAGUACAGUAGAGGUGGGCGGAAUUCGUGGUGUAGCGGUGAAAUGCUUAGAUAUCACGAAGAACUCCGAUUGCGAAGGCAGUUCACUGGACUGAAACUGACACUGAGGCUCGAAAGUGUGGGUAUCAAACAGGAUUAGAUACCCGAGUAGUC